UUAAAUAUUAAUUGAUUUUAUCUUAUACAAUUGUGUUUAAAUUAAAAAAAAAAGGUAAAUGAUUUUGUUUCCCUCUUUUCUUCCUUGUUUUGUUUGGAAGAUUAAAUUCUUUUAGUAGAUAAUUAAAUAACUGAUAAAAUUAAAAUUGAGGAAGAUAAUUCCUUUUGUUACGGAGCGGGAAGCUACUUGGGAGAUGGAGGAGUCUAUUCGAGCGGAAUAUCCGCAUCUUUUUUAUAAUUAGGUACUUUUCAUUCUUUUGAUUCCGGGGACGGAAUCCUUUUUAAGGAGUAGGUGAUGUAAUACCCGAAAAAAAUAAUAUUAAAUAAUAAAAAUUAUUUUGUUUGAAAGCAUAUUAAUUGGACUUUGUCCAUUAUUUUGGGUCAAAAUAGUUAUUUAAUUUGUGUGGGCUAAUAAAUAUUAAUAAGAG
rnacentral:lncRNA from 1 species